UCUGUGAGUGUGUGUGUGUGUGUGUGUGUGUACGUAUAUAUAUAUAUACAUAUACACACACACACACACGCAGAAC